rnacentral:rRNA from 1 species
AACGAACGCUGGCGGCAUGCCUAACACAUGCAAGUCGAACGAGACCUUCGGGGCUAGUGGCGCACGGGUGCGUAACGCGUGGGAACCUGCCCUUAGGUUCGGAAUAACUCCCCGAAAGGGGUGCUAAUACCGGAUAAUGUCUUCGGGCCAAAGAUUUAUCGCCUUUGGAUGGGCCCGCGUUUGAUUAGCUAGUUGGUAGGGUAAAAGCCUACCAAGGCGACGAUCCAUAGCUGGUCUGAGAGGAUGAUCAGCCACACUGGGACUGAGACACGGCCCAGACUCCUACGGGAGGCAGCAGUGGGGAAUAUUGGACAAUGGGCGAAAGCCUGACGCAGCCAUGCCGCGUGAGUGAUGAAGGCCUUAGGGUUGUAAAGUUCUUUUACCCGGGAUGAUAAUGACGGUACCGGGAGAAUAAGCUCCGGCUAACUCCGUG